UACGUAGGGUGCGAGCGUUGUCCGGAAUUACUGGGCGUAAAGAGCUCGUAGGUGGUUUGUCGCGUUGUUCGUGAAAUCUCACGGCUUAACUGUGAGCGUGCGGGCGAUACGGGCAGACUAGAGUACUGCAGGGGAGACUGGAAUUCCUGGUGUAGCGGUGAAAUGCGCAGAUAUCAGGAGGAACACCGGUGGCGAAGGCGGUGGUCUGGGCCGGCACUGACGCUGAGGAGCGAAAGCGUGGGGAGCAAACAGG
rnacentral:rRNA from 1 species